UACGAGGGGGGCGAGCGUUGUUCGGAAUUAUUGGGCGUAAAGGGUGCGUAGGCGGUUCCGCAAGUCCUGUGUGAAAUCUUCGGGCUCAACUCGAAGUCUGCACGGGAAACUGCGGGGCUUGAGUGUGGGAGAGGUGAGUGGAAUUCCCGGUGUAGUGGUGAAAUGCGUAGAUAUCGGGAGGAACACCUGUGGCGAAAGCGGCUCACUGGACCAUAACUGACGCUGAUGCACGAAAGCUGGGGGAGCAAACAGG
rnacentral:rRNA from 1 species